GACGAACGCUGGCGGCGUGCUUAACACAUGCAAGUCGAACGGAAAGGCCCUGCUUUUGUGGGGUGCUCGAGUGGCAAACGGGUGAGUAACACGUGAGUAACCUGCCCUUGACUUUGGGAUAACUUCAGGAAACUGGGGCUAAUACCGGAUAGGAGCUCCUGCUGCAUGGUGGGGGUUGGAAAGUUUCGGCGGUUGGGGAUGGACUCGCGGCUUAUCAGCUUGUUGGUGGGGUAGUGGCUUACCAAGGCUUUGACGGGUAGCCGGCCUGAGAGGGUGACCGGCCACAUUGGGACUGAGAUACGGCCCAGACUCCUACGGGAGGCAGCAGUGGGGAAUAUUGCACAAUGGGCGGAAGCCUGAUGCAGCAACGCCGCGUGCGGGAUGACGGCCUUCGGGUUGUAAACCGCUUUCGCCUGUGACGAAGCGUGAGUGACGGUAAUGGGUAAAGAAGCACCGGCUAACUACGUGCCAGCAGCCGCGGUGAUACGUAGGGUGCGAGCGUUGUCCGGAUUUAUUGGGCGUAAAGGGCUCGUAGGUGGUUGAUCGCGUCGGAAGUGUAAUCUUGGGGCUUAACCCUGAGCGUGCUUUCGAUACGGGUUGACUUGAGGAAGGUAGGGGAGAAUGGAAUUCCUGGUGGAGCGGUGGAAUGCGCAGAUAUCAGGAGGAACACCAGUGGCGAAGGCGGUUCUCUGGGCCUUUCCUGACGCUGAGGAGCGAAAGCGUGGGGAGCGAACAGGCUUAGAUACCCUGGUAGUCCACGCUGUAAACGGUGGGUACUAGGUGUGGGGUCCAUUCCACGGGUUCCGUGCCGUAGCUAACGCUUUAAGUACCCCGCCUGGGGAGUACGGCCGCAAGGCUAAAACUCAAAGGAAUUGACGGGGCCCCGCACAAGCGGCGGAGCAUGCGGAUUAAUUCGAUGCAACGCGUAGAACCUUACCUGGGUUUGACAUGGAUCGGGAGUGCUCAGAGAUGGGUGUGCCUCUUUUGGGGUCGGUUCACAGGUGGUGCAUGGCUGUCGUCAGCUCGUGUCGUGAGAUGUUGGGUUAAGUCCCGCAACGAGCGCAACCCUUGUUCACUGUUGCCAGCACGUUAUGGUGGGGACUCAGUGGAGACCGCCGGGGUCAACUCGGAGGAAGGUGGGGAUGACGUCAAGUCAUCAUGCCCCUUAUGUCCAGGGCUUCACGCAUGCUACAAUGGCUGGUACAGAGAGUGGCGAGCCUGUGAGGGUGAGCGAAUCUCGGAAAGCCGGUCUCAGUUCGGAUUGGGGUCUGCAACUCGCCCUCAUGAAGUCGGAGUCGCUAGUAAUCGCAGAUCAGCAACGCUGCGGUGAAUACGUUCCCGGG
rnacentral:rRNA from 1 species